ensembl:miRNA
UGCAAAAGUAAUUGCGGUUUUUGCCAUUGAAAGUAAUCACAAAAAUUGCAAUUAUUUUUGCA